rnacentral:rRNA from 1 species
UUUUCUAUUUGACCCUGGUAGAAAGUAGAAAUGUGAUUAGUAGGGCUA